GCUCUUACACUUCUACUGUUAACCUUUCAAUUUUCUGUUCUUGUUUUGAUCAAAAUUUCCAUGUGUGUUUGAUUUUUUUGCUGGUGUUUAAGGUUAACGAAUUUUAACUCGGAUUCCUUCAAUUUUCUUUAUUUUUUUUUGUUCGAAAAUCUCACGUGUGCUCGAUUUUGUCAUUGUGUUUAAGGUGAAGCAAAUUUGUUUUGAGGUUUUUUGUUUUUCUUCAUUUUCUGUCAUCUCUUCUAUAUGUUUGUUUUAUUUCUUCUACUUUUAUUUCUAUUUGCUUGAUUACUUCUUUGUGUUUAGGUUUUACCCAUUUCGAGUGACAUUUUUUCUUACAUUCAGUUUUGGCCUCUUAAUUUGUGUGUGUCUUUUGUUUUGGUUACAUCUAAUCUGGCUUCGUAGUAGCUAAUUUUUUACAAGGUCAGCAAAAAUCAGAAGUAGGAAACGACGUGGGUUUCUUUUUUGUAGUUUAAUUUCGCCUAUUCAUUGAUCUAUCUUUAUAUCUGAAACUAUGUAUAUUAAGGUUUGCAUUUGCCUUCUUGCGUUCUUCUUGCUAUUUGUGGUGGAAGUUUGCUGUCUCUCUCUGUAUUUUACUGAUCUUACCAUUCAUGGAGGCUUUGAUGUAGGGCUUUUUUUUUUUAAUCGUUAUUUUGUGCUCCGAUGUGGAAUUUACUUCGGCUAUAUUGUAAAUCAGGAUUUUAAUAUCUAUUUGGACCUGUCGAAUCUUACUUGCUUUCAUUUGCUUGGCAUGAAGUUUCACUAUUAAACAUCACUUAGGUCUUUCUUGUUUACAAUUUAAAGUGAAAGCUAGUAAUCUCACUGAUAGUAUGUGGCUUAACAUAUCUUGAUAGUCUUUGUCAAGCUACAAAAAUUUGAAACUGGGUUCUGCCGAAGUAGAUAGCAUUGGAUAGUCUGAUAAACUAAUAAAAUUUUAUUAGAGCAAUUUCAUUUUUCCAUUUAUAUACUUCUCUUUUGUUGUAUGAAAUGAUGAUAUUAAAAAUAAUGGAGAUUUUUUUGUGGUUCAUUUUUUCGUUUAAAAUGUUGUUCUUAUAUUUUGUAUUUUCCCUUAUUGUUUUGCCAACCCUUCAUACUAGAAAAUUUCUCAUUGUUCCUCUGCCCUUACACACGCUCAUAACUUUCCUAAGUUUAUAAUUUAACUAUUUUGCAAUUUAGGUAUUUCAAAGAAGAAGGGAUUCCUCUUAGAGAAUUUCAAAAUUGAUAUUUUUAUACCUUCUGAGGUGAUUGUCUUUCAUUUUAUAUAUAUAUUCUUUUGUCAAAUUUGUUAGAAAGUUAUGUCUUUUACAGUUAGACCAUUGAUAUUGGAUAUAAAUAUAUUUCCUUUGCAUCUCAUCUCUGGAAUGCCCUUUUUUUCUUUUUUUUUCCCCUUUGUUUCUAUGUGUACAAUUUUGUAUUUGAAUUGUUCUUAAAUUCUUCAAGAAGCAGAAAAAUCGAACACGAACAAAAUAUUUGUGACCUUAAGUAUGUUGAUUUCAUAUUAUAUUUACUGCAGAUUACUUUGUCAUCUCAGUUCGAUUUGCAUUUCUCUUUGUUCAGAUUAGGUUUAUUUUUUUGCUCUCCCAGCAAUAUUGUUUCAAUUAAAUAGAGGUAAAAAAUUCGAUUUUGUAAGUUUAUUUUGUCUAAAGUUUUCGCAUGAUUUCUUUGUAUAUCUUGUUUGUAUGCUGGUAAAAGAUUAGAAAAUUGAGGCUUUUAAUACUGCAUAUGGAAUUAACAUAGGUGUAUGUUAUGUCAAUUUUUGUUGCUUUAAUUUUUUUUCUUCUUUAUUGUUUAUGAUUUGGGAUUAAAGGGCAUUGCUUUAUUACUCAAGCUAUGGCUGAUCUUCUGGUUAAUGGAAUGGUUGAUUUGCCUUUGGUGCAAACUGGUAAAGUUAUAGCUGAAUGUGAACUUCUUCUACGAAAGGAUCAAUUGGACAUUGAUGAAAUCACUUGGCAGGGGGACCAAGUCAAAGAAUUUCGACCUCCAUGUGAAGUUCAAAGUGAUAAAGCGACCAUACAAAUAACGAGUCGUUACAAAGGAAAAGUUACCCAUGUUCUUCAUAUUCUAGUCAACAUUGUAAAGUUAACAAUAAAACCGUUAGAACUAGAAUUUAUUGUAAAAUCAAAUGCUUAGGCCACUUUCAGAUAAUGGAGUUCUAAUAUCAUCUACUUGUGGUUACGGAGUAACAUCAAGACUAGGUGGUAGAAUUAUGUGUAUAACUUUAUCCGUAGAUAAAGGACUUUCUCCUUUUAAUAGUCUAAUAUUGAAUUAUCAAUCAUGUUCUUUCAUUUAUGUGCAGAUAAAACUUUACUCUGGCAAGCAAAAUAUCCAAUUUAUGUGAUGA